rnacentral:rRNA from 1 species
UACGAAGGGUGCAAGCGUUAAUCGGAAUUACUGGGCGUAAAGGGUGCGUAGGCGGUUCGUUAAGUCUGUCGUGAAAUCCCCGGGCUCAACCUGGGAAUGGCGAUGGAUACUGGCGAGCUAGAGUGUGUCAGAGGAUGGUGGAAUUCCCGGUGUAGCGGUGAAAUGCGUAGAGAUCGGGAGGAACAUCAGUGGCGAAGGCGGCCAUCUGGGACAACACUGACGCUGAAGCGCGAAAGCGUGGGGAGCGAACAGG